AUGCAUUCUCUAGGGUCAGGCUGUAGCGCCAGAGCAAUUGCUUGCGCAUAACUGGGGCCUACAGCUCUCUGCCGGCGACUCUUUUAACCGCAAGCCCACAGGG
rnacentral:snoRNA from 1 species